ACACAACGCCGCCUGUUUUCUGUCUGCAGCCCGCGCCGCACCGGGUGAAUACUGAUUCUCUGCCUGCUGCCUCCCUCCCAGCUGCUAGUCUGAUAAAUUGCCGAAGGAAAGUUAUUUCAUUAAAAAAGCGUGGCUGGUGUUUUUCCAGCAUGCUGGUGUUACGUAUCCAACGCUGUGCUGGAUAUGAAGAUGUUCAAAGAGCCUGGCUUGACUCCGCUAGGAUCAGAUUUUGAGAAUGUCUCUUUCUGGCACCCUCCUGGUGAGCUCCUGUCACGACGGCUUCAGAAAGAGCACCAGAGACCGAAGCGCUCUAGAGAGCUUGGGUGGGGGUGGAGCUUCUGCUCUAUGCUGCUGAGUAGUGAGUGAACAGUGACCCCUGAGAAGACGUGAAGCUGAGGAACGGGCCCAGUUAGAUGGAGAUGACAGGUGAAUGCAACAAGGCAGGAAGAUGGUACUCAGAGGUAAAAGAGAGAGAGACAUUGUGUGGCAUUCUGUGUCCUCAUAAAGGGUUGGCUGAACAUUUGGCCCUAACCCUGGGCUCCCUGUAGCCCGUCGGCAGUGGAGCUGCAUCGGGAGAGACAGUUUAGCUGUGGAACUGAAGUAGCCCCUGUUCAGAGACGCUAAUGUCUUCUACACAUGAUAGGACUGCUCCUGUAUUGCAGUUAAGGAAGAAGUCUCAAUGUUUCGCCCCCUAUUGGGCGUACUGAAAAAUACUUCCCCUUUUUUGUCUGACCACUACAUAAACUGACAUAAAAAGUCUUUGCCCUUCUUUGGCCAUUCAUUUGUGAUUUGUAUUAACAUCUUGAAAUGUUUUCAUUAAGG
ensembl:lncRNA